rnacentral:lncRNA from 1 species
UAACCACAAGACAACUAUGAUGCCUUUGGUCAAAUGACUACUUUGCAUUAUCCCAACCAUGAGUUCUCAUGUGACAUGAAUAUGAGAACUCUUCGUUGAUCGUGUUCAGUGAACUCAUUCUUUAUUGAGCACCUACGUACUUGUCUUGAUGUCACACACACCAAUGACUCGAGACUAGUCACUCUUCCUGAGAGAAGACACAACACGUACUGAUCUUAACGGACUGUUAAUGCCCAAUUGGCAAUCCUAUGAUCAGGAACGUUUAGGAUGUGUCUACGAAAGAAUGGUCUCAUGAAUCUAACUUCUUUAGAUUGCAUUCUCCCAAUCACAUAUUCUUUGGACUUAUCGUUUAAGCGUAUAACAUUUAUAUGAGACGGCUCAAACAAUAAUCUUUGCCCUUGAUAUUAAA